UCUCGGAGGAGGUGGCAGGGAAGCUGAGAACUGAGGGAGAAGAACCUGGGUGGAGGUAACAAAUGUCCGCGCCACAGACAGCAGCAGGAUCCCAGGUCAAUUUUCUUUCCUAGUUGAACACGUGGUGGCUCCAACUCUGGAAGGGAACCAGAGAAUGAGGUCUGCGCUCCAUGCUGAGGGGAGCCGGCUGAAGACAGAGGGUCCUUUCUUGGUUUCCACCAACAUCAAGCUUCUUGCCUCCUAGGUUUGACUGUCCACUUUAAAACUCCUCCCACAACACAGUGUUCUCUCCACCCUUAUCCCCACCACCGUGCCCUGCCCGCUCAAAAAGGCUGUAUCGCGUUCUUCACUGAAAUGCAAGCAAUACAAACAUGAGCCCUGCUUCUCCGCAUUUGUCCGUGCUAUCAUUUUUGUUCACUAUAAACAAAUACAGUAGUUUGCUUGGUAAC
rnacentral:lncRNA from 1 species